rnacentral:ncRNA from 1 species
AAUAGGCUUGGUCCUGGCCUUUCUAUUAGCUCUUAGCAGGAUUACACAUGCAAGCAUCCCCGCUCCAGUGAAGACGCCCUACAAACCAUCAUGACCAAGAGGAGCAAGCAUCAAGCACGCACACGCAGCUCAAAACGCUUUGCCUAGCCACACCCCCACGGGAGACAGCAGUGACAAAUAUUUAGCAAUAAACGAAAGUUCAACUAAGCCAUGCUAUAUUUAGGGUUGGUCAAUUUCGUGCCAGCCACCGCGGUUACACGAUUAACCCCAGCUAAUAGGGAUCGGCGUAAAGGGUGUUUAAGAUCUAACAUAAUAAAGCUAAACUCCACCUAAACUGUAAAACCCUAGCUAAUGUAAAAUAAACUACGAAAGUGGCUUUAAAGCUUCUGAACACACAAUAGCCAAGACCCAAACUGGGAUUAGACACCCCACUAUGCUUGGCCCUAAACCUCAGUAAUUAGAUAACAAAACUACUCGCCAGAAUACUACAAGCAACAGCUUGAAACUCAAAGGACUUGACGGUGCUUUACAUCCCCCUAGAGGAGCCUGUUCCAUAAUCGAUAAACCCCGAUCCACCCUACCCUCUCUUGCUCAGCCUAUAUACCGCCAUCUUCAGCAAACCCUAAUGAAGGCCACAAAGUGAGCGCAAACGCCGCCACCGCGAAUACGUUAGGUCAAGGUGUAGCCCAUGAGACGGUAAAAAAUGGGCUACAUUUUCUGUUUCAGAAAACCCACGAAAACCCUUAUGAAACUUAAGGGUCCAAGGAGGAUUUAGCAGUAAAUUAAGAAUAGAGUGCUUAAUUGAACCAGGCCAUAAAGCGCGCACACACCGCCCGUCACUCCUCUCAAAUAUAUUUAAGGAAUACCCUAACUAAACGCCCUAAUAUUUAUAUAGAGAGGAUAAGUCGUAACAUGGUAAGCGUACUGGAAGGUGCGCUUGGAUAAAU